AACUAUAUCAUAAUAAAACGACUCGCGGCUGACAUUUAUUGUGACUUAAAAUAUAAAUACUGCAAUAACCAGCGUAAUAACGCACCAGCUCUUAUAUCACUGUAGAACGAUACCUAGACUACCAAUAUGCUGAAGCUAUUCCUGGCACUGGUCGUUCUGGUGGCAUUAGUCCAAGUAUCACUGUGUCACUUGCCGUACCCGAUGAUCUAUCCUCCGUUCCCGACAUACCCGACCUUCCCCGGUGCCUUCCCCGGUGCCUUCCCCUGGUAUAUGCAUGAAAUGUUGGAUUACCCAAGACCAAUGGGCAGAUAAGCGACAUGGUGGCAGACGGAUCUGUUGACAGUGGUAAAGGGAAAUUAGAAAGCGAAACCAUCGGUGACUGCUAUAAAGGGACCAAUGACAUUUAUAUAAUGUGACACGCGACAUUUUGGUCGUUGUGACUCACUCAUUGUCGGUGUAAUAAAUCGAUUGUGCCGA